rnacentral:rRNA from 1 species
AGUGGCGAACGGGUGAGUAACACGUGGACAACCUGCCCAAAAGAGGGGGAUAACACUUGGAAACAGGUGCUAAUACCGCAUAACCAUAGUUACCGCAUGGUAACUAUGUAAAAGGUGGCUAUACUACCGCUUUUGGAUGGGCCCGCGGCGCAUUAGCUAGUUGGUAGGGUAAAGGCUUACCAAGGCAAUGAUGCGUAGCCGAAUUGAGAGGUUGAUCGGCCACAUUGGGACUGAGACACGGCCCAAACUCCUACGGAAGGCAGCAG